rnacentral:rRNA from 1 species
ACGUAGGUGGCAAGCGUUGUCCGGAUUUACUGGGCGUAAAGGAUGCGUAGGCGGAUAUUUAAGUCAGAUGUGAAAUACCCGGGCUCAACUUGGGUGCUGCAUUUGAAACUGGAUAUCUAGAGUGCGGGAGAGGUAAGUGGAAUUCCUAGUGUAGCGGUGAAAUGCGUAGAGAUUAGGAAGAACACCAGUGGCGAAGGCGACUUACUGGACCGUAACUGACGCUGAGGCAUGAAAGCGUGGGGAGCAAACAGGA